rnacentral:RNase_P_RNA from 1 species
UGAGGAAAGUCCGGGCUUCACAGGGCAGGAUGCCGGAUAACGUCCGGUGGAGGAAACUCCCAGGCUAGUGCAACAGAGAUAUACCGCCACAUUGAUGUGGUAAGGGUGGAAAGGCAGUGUAAGAGACUACCGUGCAUCUGGUAACAGAUGCAGCCAUGUAAACCCCAUCCGAAGCAAGGCCAAACAGAGAGCGAUAGAUUGGCCCGAUCUGCUCUCAGGUGGGUCGCUUGAGGCUGUUGGUAACAGCAGUCCUAGAUAGAUGAACACCCAACGACAUAACCCGGCUUAUCGUCCGGCUUA